rnacentral:rRNA from 7 species
UGAAGGCUGAGCUGUGAUGGGGAAGCUCCUUAUGGAGCGAAGUCUUUGAUUCCCCGCUGCCAAGAAAAGCUUCUAGCGAGAUAAAAGGUGCCUGUACCGCAAACCGACACAGGUAGGCGAGGAGAGAAUCCUAAGGUGUGCGAGAGAACUCUGGUUAAGGAACUCGGCAAAAUGACCCCGUAACUUCGGGAGAAGGGGUGCUUUCUUAACGGAAAGCCGCAGUGAAUAGGCCCAAGCGACUGUUUAGCAAAAACACAGGUCUCUGCGAAGCCGUAAGGCGAAGUAUAGGGGCUGACACCUGCCCGGUGCUGGAAGGUUAAGGAGAGGGGUUAGCGUAAGCGAAGCUCUGAACUGAAGCCCCAGUAAACGGCGGCCGUAACUAUAACGGUCCUAAGGUAGCGAAAUUCCUUGUCGGGUAAGUUCCGACCCGCACGAAAGGUGUAACGAUUUGGGCACUGUCUCAACCAGAGACUCGGUGAAAUUAUAGUACCUGUGAAGAUGCAGGUUACCCGCGACAGGACGGAAAGACCCCGUGGAGCUUUACUGUAGCCUGAUAUUGAAUUUUGGUACAGUUUGUACAGGAUAGGCGGGAGCCAUUGAAACCGGAGCGCUAGCUUCGGUGGAGGCGCUGGUGGGAUACCGCCCUGACUGUAUUGAAAUUCUAACCUACGGGUCUUAUCGACCCGGGAGACAGUGUCAGGUGGGCAGUUUGACUGGGGCGGUCGCCUCCUAAAGUGUAACGGAGGCGCCCAAAGGUUCCCUCAGAAUGGUUGGAAAUCAUUCGUAGAGUGCAAAGGCAUAAGGGAGCUUGACUGCGAGACCUACAAGUCGAGCAGGGACGAAAGUCGGGCUUAGUGAUCCGGUGGUUCCGCAUGGAAGGGCCAUCGCUCAACGGAUAAAAGCUACCCCGGGGAUAACAGGCUUAUCUCCCCCAAGAGUCCACAUCGACGGGGAGGUUUGGCACCUCGAUGUCGGCUCAUCGCAUCCUGGGGCUGUAGUCGGUCCCAAGGGUUGGGCUGUUCGCCCAUUAAAGCGGUACGCGAGCUGGGUUCAGAACGUCGUGAGACAGUUCGGUCCCUAUCCGUCGUGGGCGUAGGAAAUUUGAGAGGAGCUGUCCUUAGUACGAGAGGACCGGGAUGGACGCACCGCUGGUGUACCAGUUGUUCUGCCAAGGGCAUAGCUGGGUAGCUAUGUGCGGAAGGGAUAAGUGCUGAAAGCAUCUAAGCAUGAAGCCCCCCUCAAGAUGAGAUUUCCCAUAGCGUAAGCUAGUAAGAUCCCUGAAAGAUGAUCAGGUUGAUAGGUUCGAGGUGGAAGCAUGGUGACAUGUGGAGCUGACGAAUACUAAUAGAUCGAGGACUUAACCAU